CAGCAGCACAGGGUUUUGACCUCCUCCUGCAGCACAGCUCCCACACCUACUGGGAGAAAUGAGAAGACAGGACGGUCGGUGGUGAAGGAUAGCGGAGGAGGAGGACACGCCCCCGGUUCCUACAAUAUAGGAUCCUUUCAGUGGAGAUCUUCUAUAAAGGAUAAUUCUCCUGAUUGACCCAUUAAGGAUGGAUAGAGACAAGGACAAGAUGGCGGAGAGUAUAAUAAAUCUCACCCUAGAGAUCCUCUUCCGGCUUACUGGAGAGGACUACACAGUGGUGAAGAAGACCUCUAGUGGGU